UACGUAGGGGGCAAGCGUUGUCCGGAUUUAUUGGGCGUAAAGAGCGUGUAGGCGGCCUGGUAGGUCAGUUGUGAAAACUCGAGGCUCAACCUCGAGACGCCGAUUGAAACCACCAGGCUAGAGUCCGGAAGAGGAGAGUGGAAUUCCCGGUGUAGCGGUGAAAUGCGCAGAUAUCGGGAGGAACACCGAUGGCGAAGGCAGCUCGCUGGGACGGUACUGACGCUGAGGCGCGAAAGCUAGGGGAGCAAACAGG
rnacentral:rRNA from 1 species